GCACUAUGGGUGUGUGCAGGGCAUCUUACAGAACAAGUAAAAAGACAGGUCUCUGCCCCACAGAGUUUACAAUUUAACUCCAAAAUUGCAGUCUACGUUAAUUCUCUGCUUAGACCUCAUACAGAUGAACAGGGUGGAGGAUUAAGGAAGGACUAAGAACAGAAGGCCAAUUCAGGCCCAUCAGGAACAGCUGUUGACUAGCAAGGGGCCUUCAAGAAGGUACUGCCGGUGGCAAGGCUGCAGAAUCCAGACUGGUGAGAUCAGCGAUGGACACCAACGGUGGAUCACAGGUGUCGAAGACAGAAAGCAACAGAGACUGCAUUCCUGCCACCUCAGAUACAGAUACUGUUCCAGCCAUAUUAACUCCUUGCUCAGUGUAUGAGAACUUAAUAAUGCAAAGAUAUCUUGACACUGGUGCCAGGGGAAAGCAUGAAGACAGGACAUAUUUAAAAUGCAGUCUGAGUAGAAGAAUGGUCUGGGAAUACAAAUUGUUGAGCUGGAAGUGUCAUCAAAAGGACCAGGAAGGUUUCACUUAGUAUUUUAUAAAUUUACAAAGCUUUUCCAUAAAGCCACAAAAGCUGUGACUGUUUGUC